UCCUGGAGGACUAGUGGUUAGGCCGCAGCGCUCUUACUGCUGUGGCUCGGGUUCGAUUCCUGGCCCGGGAA